AUGAUAUACAUGAGCAAUACUACUCGCACAACCUAAAGAGGGUGUAUGAUGCAUACCCUAUCCAUUUUAGGAUGAAAACUGCUACGCUAGUCCAGUCAAUGUGAUUAGUAAAAUUCAUCCCACCCAAGCCCUUUAGGGAUGUACUGUUGGAUGUGGUCCACGUGAUUUAUUUAAGACAAUCUAUAAAGAUACAAGCGGUUUAUUCAAGUUGAUCUAUAAAGAUACAAAAAAUCUAACGGUUAGGAUGUAUCUGGUCACCUCUUUGAUGGACAGACGUGAUUUAACAUCCUUAUAUUAAGUUAUAAAUAAAUAUGUAACAUACGGGAAUUCCGGUCUAACCCUAAAUCCAAUUUUCUGUGACAGCUCCAUCUCCCUCCGGGGAUAAGAGAUAAGGGAAUUAGACUCGAAACGUCCGGGGACCGUCGUCUAUAAUCCGGAUAUUGACAGUUGAUCUAUAAAGAUAUGGAAGAUCUAACGGUUAGGAUAUAUCCGGACAAGUUCUUGAUGGAUGGACAUGAUUUAAUAUUCUUAUAUUAAGUCAUAUAUGAAUAUGUAACAUACGGGAGUCUCAAUCUAACCCUAAUCCAAUUUUUUGUGACGGCUUCAUCUUUGAGGAUAAGAGAAUGAGACUCGAAACGUCCCGCUUUCUUACAGAAUACGAACGAGGACGAACCGCGAGUAAGGACCGUCGUCUAUAAUCCGGAUAUUGAAAUCAAAACUAUGGUAGAACGUACGAUCUUAAUUUUUUAUAAAGUUUCAACAUGUACAAAUAGUAUUUUCUACUUAAUAUUAAAAAAUAACUUCAAAUAACCCCGCGUGUUUGUGAUGUAUUAUCUUGUGGUAUUUUAUUGCAGUUAUAUCUGAUUUGUAGCCAUUUUUUAUCAUACCAUAAUGUAGGUUAAAAAUGAUAUAUGAGACCACCUCAAAAUAUAUAUACGCGCACGUGAAAAUAAAGUAAUAAUAAAUACGUACCGUUUCUAAUUUACUAUUUAUAAGUAGUUCAUAAAAAAAAAAUCUAAAAUGCACCAAUUAUAUUAGUGGCGUGACGUCUUCAACCAAUCAAAUAAUAUUUUUAGAUUUAUUUGUCCUAUUAUGAUUAUAAAAAAAUAUUUUUGUUGUAUUUUUUUUCCACAUAAAGAGAAAUAAUUGAUUUGUUAUUGAUGAUAUGGUAUAAAUAUGAUACAGUAGAUUUUCUCUAGUUCUUAAUAGUAUGAAAUGAUAAUAAACAAUAAGACAAU
rnacentral:lncRNA from 1 species